UACAGAGGGUGCGAGCGUUAAUCGGAAUUACUGGGCGUAAAGAGCGCGUAGGCGGUCGUGUAAGUCAGAUGUGAAAGACCUUGGCUCAACCAGGGAACUGCAUUUGAUACUGCACAACUAGAGUAUGGUAGAGGAAAGUGGAAUUUCCGGUGUAGCGGUGAAAUGCGUAGAUACCGGAAGGAACACCAGUGGCGAAGGCGACUUUCUGGACCAAUACUGACGCUGAGGCGCGAAAGCGUGGGGAGCAAACAGG
rnacentral:rRNA from 1 species